GAGUUUGAUCCUGGCUCAGGAUGAACGCUGGCGGUAUGCUUAACACAUGCAAGUCGAACGGACACUUUCGGGUGUUAGUGGCGGACGGGUGAGUAAAGCGCAAGAAUCUAGCUUUUGGUCGGGGACAACAGUUGGAAACGACUGCUAAUACCGGAUAUGCGGAGACGUGAAAGUUUUAAUGCCAAAAGAAGAGCUUGCGUCCGAUUAGCUAGUUGGUGGGGUAAGAGCCUACCAAGGCGACGAUCGGUAGCUGGUCUGAGAGGAUGGCCAGCCACACUGGAACUGAGACACGGUCCAGACUCCUACGGGAGGCAGCAGUGGGGAAUUUUCCGCAAUGGGCGAAAGCCUGACGGAGCAAUACCGCGUGAGGGAGGAAGGCUCUUGGGUUGUAAACCUCUUUUCUCAGGGAAGAAAAAAUGACGGUACCUGAGGAAUAAGCAUCGGCUAACUCCGUGCCAGCAGCCGCGGUAAUACGGAGGAUGCAAGCGUUAUCCGGAAUGAUUGGGCGUAAAGCGUCCGCAGGUGGUUUUGUAUGUCUGCUGUUAAAGCGUGCGGCUUAACCGCAUAAGGGCGGUAGAAACUACAAGACUAGAGUACGUUCGGGGCAGAGGGAAUUCCCAGUGUAGCGGUGAAAUGCGUAGAGAUUGGGAAGAACAUCGGUGGCGAAAGCGCUCUGCUAGGCCUGUACUGACACUGAGGGACGAAAGCUAGGGGAGCGAAUGGGAUUAGAUACCCCAGUAGUCCUAGCCGUAAACGAUGGAUACUAGGCGUUGUCUGUAUCGACCCGGACAGUGCCGUAGCUAACGCGUUAAGUAUCCCGCCUGGGGAGUACGCAGGCAACUGUGAAACUCAAAGGAAUUGACGGGGGCCCGCACAAGCGGUGGAGUAUGUGGUUUAAUUCGAUGCAACGCGAAGAACCUUACCAAGACUUGACAUGUCUAGAAUUCUGGCGAAAGUUGGAAGUGCCUUCGGGAGCUAGAACACAGGUGGUGCAUGGCUGUCGUCAGCUCGUGUU
rnacentral:rRNA from 1 species